AAAAGCUAUUUAUUACUCUGUUGGGUUGAGACCCUUGACAUACAAUCACUUGGAAGGAUUCCUUCAAGUAUGAUUUACUAGCAUUUAUUUGAUCACCAACCACUUGCUCAUUCUCUAUAAACUAGCCUUGUGGGAUCUCUAAAGAUCCAGAGAAAGAGAAGAGAUAAUUCCUGCCCUCAGGGUGCUGGUGGACAAUGGGAAAUGAAGGCCAGCAAGUCCACAGUGGAAGUCCCAUGGGCUGUGAGAUAUAGGAAGGACCAUGCUGGGAUAAGGGCAGUGUAUCUAAUUCAACCUCAGAGAGCUCCAAAAGGAAACACUUUGGGAGGGAAGGGACUUACACAUCUCCAGACUUCAAGGAGACUAGAAGCCCAAAGAAAUGGAAGACAAAGAAAAACGGUGGUGUGGCCCAGAUAAAUGAGAGAGCAAGGCCCUCUCAGGCACCUGGUUACAGAAAACAGUGUGUGUGCCCAUGUGAAGGAAGAUAAGGCAGGCCGGCACCAAACGGUGGAGAUUCUUCUAGACAGCUCUGUGAAUGCUGCUAUUUAUUGUGGAGGUUGUGGGAAAGCUGACCUGAUCCCUGCUGGAAAUCCAUCCUGGCAGCAAGGAAAGAAUAUAGAAGAGCAAACCCAGAGGAUCAGGAACUCCCCCUCCCACCUUCCUAAGGUUAAGCUCAAAAUUAUUUCAACUCAAGAAGUUUCCUCUAGGCCGCACUUUGACUUUGAAUCAAGAGUCAGAGUGUGACGCCCCAGGAGGACUCUGGAUCAUAGAGCUGAAUUAUGAUGGCUUGAUGUUCUCAGGGUCUAUUACAAUUCUCGCUUAAAUGGGGUGUGACCUUGAAGACACAAAGGAUGGGGAUCCCAAGAAUAGAGGUUGGGCUGCCAUGCAAGCGAGAUAUAUAAAUAUGAAUGUCAAGCCACUCGAAUGCAUGAAAGGCUUUUAAAAUGCCAGAGAGUUCCAAAGUAUACCGGGCCUCACAGUCACAAUGAGAUGAUAAUGGAGGCGACCAGCGGCAGGGACCACCCACCAGCGGUUUCAUUGCUGUAACUGGGAAUGAAGGGUCUCCCUGGAACUAUUGACACUGGAUGGCAUUGUCAUUUUUAGCACAUGCUAACUCUGUGCCUGUGAAAGGAAUUGUCUCUGUUAAGCUGGAGCCAGACUAUUUAUGGACAUCCCGGCUCCCACUGCAUUCCGGUGCCAUGGCCAUAGAUUGAAGCUGUUCACCCCUGAAAGGCAACUGGCAUGGCAGCUCACACAAGAAAACCGGAUGGUGCUCUGAUUUGCAUGUGAAACGCCCCAACAGGCUCCUUGAGCACUUGUCCCCACAUCACUAUGCUACUUUGGGAUGUUGUAAUAACUUUAAGAGCUGACUUUAGCCUACCUGGAGGAAGUAGGUUGUUGGGAGAAUGAGUCUCCCUUGUAGCUGAGGUUCUCUUCCUGUUCCAGCCAGAUGUGACAAACUGCGUCUGUAGACACUAUGCCUUCUCUGACGUGAUGGACAACGGAGCUCUGAGGAACUUCUGUGUUAAUAAACCUCUCUCCUCUAAGCUGCUUCUGCCAGACACUUUGUCACCACAAUGAGAAGAGUGACUAACAGAAACAUGUCCAUGCACAAGUUAAGUGGGUAAACAAAGUGUGGCAUACCACGCUGUGGAAUAUGACUUAGCCACCCAUAGAGGGAAAUCAUGACACAAGCUACAACAUGAUGAACCUUGAAAACUAGAGGAGCUCUCAGAAGGACAAAUACAGUGUAGCAAUUUAGAGGGGAGACUAAGACUGGUUAUAAUCAAAGACACAAUAAGCACAGAUUCUCAAGGGCUGGGAGAGGAUAUUGCUUCAUCUUUACAGUUUCUAUUUAGGGCUGCGGAUGGAACUCAGUGGUAGGGCACUUGCCUCUUUAGUGCCACAAACAAGCAAAACCCAGAGUUUCCAUUUAGAAAGAUUAAGAACUCCCCAGAUACAUAGAAAGUAAUGGUGAUCUGGUGUCAUGAACAUACUUAAUGCUCCACGUUUGUACACUUCAAAAUGGUGACAAUGUUAUAUAUAGCUUUAGCACAACUGUCAGCAAGUAAGCCAGCAGCCAGAGGAGUCCCACUUUGCCCUCUGCUCUUCGGCAUCUAAAACUUGCGAAGAGCAGAAGUGUUUGGUGUCUCAGGAUUCUGAUGAUAAACACUUCAAUUCCUGCUCACUAGAUGCCCUGAGUGGCCAGGGAGUGCAAACCUAGCAUAGGCAUUGAGAUAAGGUAAAGUCUUAGAAACCUAAGACUUGCAGGUAGUUGCAGGGUGGAAUUAAAAUAUACAUGUUAGUAAAUGAAUCAAAGUUUCAAAGUAGAAAAAUAUCAGUAAAGAACGAUGGACAAAACCAUGAACAAGGAGCUCAUCAGAGACAAUAUCAGAAAUUCUAUGUAUAUGGAUUAUGUCUCCUGCCUGUGCGUUUCUUGUUAGAUUCUUGAAAAGAAAUUAAACUUUUUUUUCUCCUUUCAAAUGCCCAGAGCUGUGUUCUUGGUUAGGUUGUGGUAAGAAGUUAAUGUAUUGUCUUUUCCUGAGCACUGACUGGCAAGCGACUGCAUUAUGACGGGAGGAAACUGGGCCCACGUUCUCUUGUAGUUGAUUGCAAUGGGGUGUGGUGGAGGGUGAGCCUCCCACACUUGGAAG
ensembl:lncRNA